GCCUUUAAAAGAGAUAGGGAGACCCAAGGCCCCUUCUCCCUCUUUCUGCUUCACUGCUGCCUUGAGAUGAGGGGCUUUACUCUCCACACGCUCCCCAUUAUCAGAGGCCCCAAAUCAAACAUGGACUAAAAUCUCUGAAAUUGUGAACUAAAGUAAUUCAUGAUUUUCCUCCUUUUAAAUUGUUUUCUUUUUUUUUUUUUAAUCCAGGUAUUCCGUCACAGCAACAAAAAACUGACAAACACAUACAGGAUAAAAUGAGACAAUUUUAGGACACUGCACAGAUGCCACAAAGUAGAUGCUUGAAUAAUGUGUUCACUCUUUUAUGCAGCUAAGGAAAUCAAUUCAUGAUACAGAGCUGAGCCCAACCGGGACCCAUGUGUCUAAGGAAGAGGGAAAACCCACCAAACAGCCAAGCAUCAGGGUCUACGCUGCCCUGCCAUGUCCAGUGAGUGAAGCAACCAGUGUUGUUUUCAGUGUCCCCAAGCCACUGGACUCUGAUUCUAGGAGGACAUCCGGUGUAAGGAGGAAGCUCACCAGCUCACCAGGUGAUUCUGAGAGGAGAAAUGGUCUUAUCCUAAACCACAGCCCC
rnacentral:lncRNA from 1 species